rnacentral:lncRNA from 1 species
CUGGGGGUGGAGGUUGCAGUGAGCCAAGGUCACACCACUGCACUCCAGCCUAGGCAACAGAGCAAGACUCCAUCUCAACAACAACGAAAAAAAGAUUUUAAGUUGCUUUUGAAUAGCCCAGAUGCAUGCCUCCUUGCUGUAGAGUUGGGUUUUGUUUGUUUAAUAAAGAAGAUAUUCUAUAUGCUGAUACACAGCUUUUUCUUCCUUUCUUUGGUGAGAGGUAGAGACACUGUGAAGCCACAGUAGCAGGAAGGGAACUGGGCAGUAAGCUUGGCAACUGGAGUCCCCUUGGCUACAAGUGGAUCCAUUCAGUUGAUGGGAGGCUUAGGACUUUGUUUUCAUUCUGGUCUCUUUCGGUCUUGAUAUGCCAGAGGCAACACUGAUGGCCAAG